AACGUAGGUGGCAAGCGUUAUCCGGAAUUACUGGGCGUAAAGGGUGUGCAGGCGGGGAAGCAAGUGGGGGAUGAAAUCUCCCAGCUUAACUGGGAUAGGUUAUGCCAGACUGCUUUUCUAGAGGACGAGAGAGGGGGGUGGAAUUCCUGGUGUAGCGGUGAAAUGCGCAGAUAUCAGGAGGAACACCAAUGGCGAAGGCAGCACUCUGGGACGUGACUGACGCUGAGACGCGAAAGCGUGGGGAGCAAACAGG
rnacentral:rRNA from 1 species